rnacentral:rRNA from 1 species
AGUGAACGCUGGCGGCGUGCCUAAUACAUGCAAGUCGAACGGAGUGGCGCACGGGUGAGUAAUAUAUAGCUAAUCUGCCCCUUGCUGGAGGACAACAGUUAGAAAUGACUGCUAAUACUUCAUAGCAAGGGAUGUGACUAUAGUGUAUCAGCUAGUCGGUGGGGUAACGACCUACCGAGGCGCUGCCGCGUAACUGGUCUGAGAGGAUGAUCAGUCACAUUGGAACGGAGACACUGUCCAAACUCCGACGGGAGGCAGCAGUAGGGAAUAUUGCGCAAUGGGGGGAACCCUGACGCAGCAACGGCGCGUGGAGGAUGACACUUUUCGGAGCGUAAACUCCUUUUGUUAGGCAAGCGGUACCUAACGAAUAAGCACCGGCUAACUCCGUGCCAGCAGCCGCGGUAAUUC